GCUCCGGAACGUUCCGCUGCCGCGCCGCCUGCCCACGCCCGAGCCCCCCAGCCCUGCCCGAGCUGCCCGGGGACCCCGGCGCCAGCCCCCGCCCACCCCCCUCCGCGAGGAAAAGUAACUUCGGGAUGAAUUUGGGAUUUUUUGGGUGGAUUUUGAGCGAUUUUUGGGGAUUUUUAGCGAUUUUCGGGCGGAUUUUUGGGCCCAUUUUAGGGGGAUUUGGAGCCAUUUUGGGGCAUUUCAGAGGGAAAUAGGCGGAUUUAGGAUGGAUUUUGGGGGAUUUCGGAUGGAUUUUAGGGGAUUUAGGAUGGAUUUAGGCAGGUUUAGGAUAGAUUUAGGCAGGUUUAGGAUGGAUUUAGGAAGGUUUGGGAUGGAUUUUGGUGGAUUUAGGAAGGUUUGGGAUGGGAUUUAGGAAGGUUUGGGAUGGAUUUUGGGGCGAUUUAGGAUGGAUUUAGGAAGGUUUAGGAUGGAUUUUGGGGGAUUUAGGAUGGAUUUAGGAAGGUUUAGGAUGGAUUUUGGGGGAUUUAGGCUGGAUUUAGAAAGGUUUAGGAUGGAUUUAGGAAUAUUUAGGAUGGAUUUUGGAAGGUUUAGGACGGAUUUGGGAUGGAUUUUGGUAGAUUUAGGAAGGUUUAGGAUGGUUUAAGAUGGAUUCAUGAAGGUUUAGGAUGGAUUUUGGGGGAUUUAGGAUGGAUUUAGGAAGGUUUGGGAUGGAUUUUGGUGGAUUUAGGAAGGUUUGGGAUGGAUUUUGGAAGGUUUAGUCUGGAUUUGGGAUGGAUUCAGAAGGUUUAGGACAGAUUUAGGCUGGAUUUAGGCAGGUUUAGGAUGGAUUUAGCAGGGAUUUUUGAGGGAUUUUGGGGGAUUUGGGAUGGAUUUUGGCAGAUUUAGGAUGGAUUUUGGGGGGGAUUUAUAGAGAUUUUUGGGGGUUUUAGGACAGAUUUGGGAAGGUUUAGGAUGGAUUUUUGGGGGAUUUUAAAGAGAUUUUGGGGGUUUUAGGACGGAUUUGGGAAGAUCAGGACGGAUUCAGGAAGGUUUGGGAUGGAUUUUGAUGGAUUUAGGCAGGUUUAGGUCGGAUUUAGAGGGAUUUUGGGGGAUUUUAAAGGGAUUUUGAGGGUUUUAGGCGGAGUCAGGAAGGUUUGGGAUGGAUUUUUGUUGGAUUUUAACCCAAAAUUUGCAU